CUCAUAUCACAUUGAAACACCGGUUCUCGUACAAUCACCGAAGUUAAGCAACGAUGAACCAGGUCAGUAACUAGAUGUAUGGCCGCUUCGGAAUACCAGGUGCUGUAA